GAGAAACACUGUUAAAUAACUUGAAAAUGAGAAUUUCAUGAACUCCUAAAGAUAUGAGAUAUUAAAUUUUCAUAGAAAAAAGAAUGGCUAUUUCCAUUAACAUUUCAUAUAGUUAUCAACACCUUUGGGUUUAUAUCUACCACCUCACUGUUUUCUAUCUGUCCUACUUGAUUUAUGUUCCUUUUCUUCGCUUGUUGUCUUUUUGGAGUAUUAAACAAUUUUAUAUUCUAUUUUUCUUUUAGCUUAUUAAUUAAAUAUUCUUUUUUUUCUAUAGUGGGUACCCUGAAAAUUACACCAUGCAAUCUUGAUUUAUUAUUACCUAAAAUAAAUUAGAACUUUUACCAUUUCCUAGACAACUCUAGGAUCUUACAAUAGUUUAACUUCCCUCCCUUUGUGCUAUUGUUCUAUUACUAUUUUGCAUGGUCAAUGUUCUUUUAAACACAUAUUUAUCUUCUCUGUUGCUUUUCAUUCUUAUAUAUUUGAAUUACUUAUUUGAAUAAUUUUCUGUCUGCCUGAAUAAACCCCUUUAGUGUUUCUUUAAGGAUAGGUCUACUACAAAUUCCCUCAAUUUGUGAUUUUCUGUAAAUGUCUUUAUAUUUUCUUCCCACUUAGAUAUUUUUGCAAAUAAAAAAUUCUUGAAAGGAAGCUUAUUUUUCAUUGAAGAUGUAAUUUUACUAUUUUGGCUUCUAUCAUUCCUAUUGAGAAAUCAAGGUCAGUCUGAUGGUUGCUCUUUGGUGGCUGCUUUCAAGAUUUUCUUUGUCUUUUAUUUUUAGUAGUUUGACAGUGGUAUCUCUAGUAUUUUUUUGAAUCCUGAUAAUAAUGCAACACAACUAUUGAAUCUAUGGCUUUAUUUUCAUUGCUCACUUUUGCAAAGUUCUUGGCCAUCAUCAUCACUUUCAAUAAUGCUUUUCCACUUUCUUUCUCCUCCAUUUCUUGGACUCAAAAUACAUAUAUGUUAGAUUUCACAUGUUCAAUAUGUUCACUUUGUUCCUAUUUUUAAUGCCUUUGGCACUCCAUAUCAUAAUCUUGUUCUUUAUGGUGUACUAACCUACUCUUUGGGCUUUCCCAGUGGCUCAGAGGUAAAGAAUCUGCCUGUGAUACAGAAGAUGCAGGAGACCUGGAUUCGAUCCCUGGGUUGGGAAGAUCCCUUGGAGAAGGAAAUGACAACCGACUCUAGUAUUCUUGCCUGGGAAAUCCCAUGGACAGAGGAGCCUGGCAGAAAGGAUCCUGGCACGCAGCUGGCAUACUGAAGAUUAUUUAAAUACAGUCACGGGUUGAUUCCACCUGAGGGAGCUGUUACAAUCUCUGUGAGGCCCGAUAUCCAUAGAUUCCAAGUGAAGCCUGCACAUUAGCUACCGUCCCUCCUCUUUGUUGUCCUGAAAGAUAGGUUGCACCUAAAGGACUCUUUGAUGCUUUUGAACUGUGGUGCUGGAGAAGACUCUUGAGAGUCCCUUGGACUGCAAGGAGAUCCAACCAGUCCAUCCUAAAGGAAAUCAGUCCUGUAUAUUCCUUGGAAGGACUGAUCCUGAAGCUGAAACUCCAAUACUUUGGCCACCUGAUGUGAAGAACUGACUCAUUGGAAAAGACCCUGGUGCUGGGAAAGAUUGAAGGCAGAAGGAGAAGGAGACGACAGAGGGUGAGAUGGUUGGAUGGCAUCACCAACUCAAUGGACAUGAGUUUGAGCAAGCUCCAGGAGUUGAUGAUGGACAGGGAAGCCUGGCAUGCUGCAGUCCAUGGGGUUGCAAAAAGUCGGACAUGACUGAGCGACUGAAAUGAAAUGAACUGAAAGGACUCUUUAUGGAUUGUAUAAUUUUAUAAUUCUAUUGAUUUACUGUGUUUACAGAGAUCUAGGAACCUGAUGAAACUUUUAAAAUCUUGUACUUAACUCCAAUAAGUUUCCAAAUAGAUCCUCUGCUUAAAACUAUCAUAUGCUAAAAGAAUAAGAUGGCAUAUCUACAGAAAUAUUUUGCAUUGCCAGCGAGUUCUAAUAGAACUCUCUGUUCCCUUGUAAUUAAUUUUUUUUAAAGAACCAGGCACAGCAGAAGAGGAAGUGAUCCUUAGGACACACUUGUUCUGAAUGUUAACAAUGGAAAGGCAAGAUUGUAUUUUUUUUUUUCCUCAUCAAUAAGACCUUUGUCUUUCUCCCAUUAAGAUAUAGGUCAGUCACUUACCUUCCACAAGGGCAACUGUGGCAGAAGGAGAAACAGUCAUUGGUUAUUACAUUUAUUAUGUAUGGAGGACCAUAUGGUAUACCAGGCUCCUGAUAACCUUGAAGGCCUGCAAGAUCUCCCUAAAUCCUAAGGAAAUUCAGCCACUCUGACACUCCAUCCCCUCUCAACGUCACCCAACCUAGCUUCUAAGACGUCCACCCCAUCUUCUCCCUUCAAGUCCUUUCUCAGAAAAGCUGUCAUGACUUUUAUUCAUAGAAUGAAGGUGGCAGUGUUUCUCUGCACCUUUCUCAUUGGGCUUUACUGGUCCAUUUUCUUAUCGAUGCAACCUGAAGAUCUGCCCUCAAAAUCUAAAAUAAUCUAAAAAAAAAAAAAAUCUAAAAUAAUCUUAAAUAAUUGAUAUGUAUCAGAAAAAAAUUGUGGAUGAUAACCCUGUUGCAAAACUAAUUUUCAAUGCUUAAGUACAUUUUUAAAAGCUUCUCAAUGAAAGAAGUCCUGAAAUAAUACCUAAUUAUAACUUUUUCAUUGGAAGAAAAAUAAACACUUAUUAACAUUUCAAAUUUUACAAUCUGAAAUAAUUUUUGCUGAAACAUCACUGUGCCAUCCACAAGGGUCAGAAUAAGUCACAUCAAUAGAUUAAAGUGACUUAAUGUUUUGAAUUCAAUUAUGAGAUGAGCUCAAGGGCAAAAGUAAAAAUAAUUUGAAAGAAACUGCAAACCCAUGACCCGCCGCCAUACUUUUUAAAUCAUUCAUCUAAAUUUUUUGUCCUUUUAUUAUAAGUUAGAAUACAGCAUAGAGACACAUUUCAAAACAAAGCAAAAAUCCACGAUACAGUGAAUUUUCUGCUGUUACAGAGCUUCCUUGUUGAGGGGAGCGACAAGCAAGAAGACAAACAAGAUUCAUUCCAAGAGAAAUGAGUGCUCUGAAGAGAAAACACAAACACGGGGAUGUUACAGAGAAGGUGGGGUGUUCGGGAAAGGCCUGGGGAGAGGACAUGUGAACAGAGAUCUGAAGGACGUGGAAGGGUCCAUGCCAAGGAAUGGGGAAGAGGAGGGUGGUCUGGGCAGAAGAGUCAGAAGGUAGCUGAGUCCCACACAGGUCAGUGUGGAUAAACAGAGUGAAUGGCAGGAAGGGUGGUAAGAGGUGACAUCAGGGAAGGAGGCAGAGUAUUGCAGGCUAUGGCAAUUCAAAAUUAGUAACCUAGAUUCUGAUCCAUCUAACCACCGCCAGAAUGGGGUUUACUCUAACAUGCUUAUAUUCACUUAUAUUCAUGCUCCCCACGGGAAAUCACUGACCCAAGAAACAUAUACUGAUCAUUUACUACAUACAAAAUGUGGUGUUCCAGAAGAACUUUUUAAAAGGGAUGCUAUGGUACCUAACCCACAUAUCUAAAGAAUGUUCUGUUCAUUGUGAUUUUUCAAGAUAAUAGCUAAGAAAAACAUAAGAUCAUUUAUACUAACAAAAUCCAAAAUAACAGAGAACAAUAAUUUCCAUUUCAAUAUUACAUUUAUAUUUUCUGCAACACCACAGGACCUUUCCUGUUAAGAUCUUGCCAUUCUGCAAAUUCCACAAUAACUUUGAAAAGCUCUUUUUACUUAGUUCUAAGCAAAAUAUUAUUCCUGAUCUUGUCUAGAUAAAUUGGUGAAGUAUGAUAAUAAAACAUGGACACAGGUUUUUCAGCUCUAUGUUAUCAACAUGCAUGGGAAUGUGCUCAGUUACCAUACACACCAACCCACAUAAAGUUGCACUCAUGAUGUUAUCUAAUUGCAAUAAUUACCCUUCAUUUCGUAUGAAGAGGACAAAGGGAAACCAAGAUUCACAAUGCCUCGAAUAGGUGCUAGACAUGGCGUACUCGCUGAGUGCCCAUGAUCGCCCUAUGGCCAUAAUCUCCAUUUUAACUGAAAUGCAAUGAGUUGGGCAAUUCAAUCAAGGCCACACAGUCUGUGAAAGUGAAAGUGAAUUCGCUCAGUCCUGUCUGACUCCUUGCGACCCCCUGGACUGUAGCCCACCAGGCUCCUCUGUCCAUGGGAUUUUCCAGCCAAGAAUACUGGAGUGGGUUGCCAUUUCCUUCUCCAGGGGAUCUUCCUGACCCACGGAUCGAACCCAGGUCUCCCGCAUUGCAGGCAGACGCUUUAACCUCUGAGCCACCAGGGAAGCCCACACAGUCUAUACCUAACGCCAAAACUCAUACACCUUCUAAUUUAAUCCAUAAAACCUCCUGAGAGAAGCUGAUUAAUUCACAGCAUUAAUUUAAUCAACGUGCACUUCUUCAGCUCUUAUAAAGUCUAUGUAACCAUACUGGACUUACUAAAACAAAACAAAAAAGACAAUACUUUCCAAAGACAGUUUUGAGACAGGCUGGGACCUGAGACCCUUUGCUACAGUGCUUCCUCCUAGACAAAUGUCUCCUCAAGCCACAGAAUACAAAGACUAUAAGAGACUAAAAAUAACUGCAUGCAUGGGCAGCUGGGGCAAAUUCUGGGCAACAAGAUACAAAAAGAUCAAAACCCAACUGCCACUUCUGAGCUGCCAGGAGCAAAAGCAGGGUACUGAGCCUGAUCUCUGCACACAGCACCACCAAGGGGGUGGGCAGCCCCCCUAAGCCACUUACUUCUCUGGCUGGUACUACGUCAGCCCCUACCCUCCCCCCAUUUAAGGGACCAGUUCACCCCCACUUAGGGAGCAAGCAAGGGCACCUGUUACUUGUUUUCACUCCCCUGCUCUGCAGCUCAAGUCCCAGUAAAUCCCUGCCUGAAUUCCUCAUCUGGUCUCACCUAUUUCUAUUAAGAAGUGCAAGGGCCCAAACGGGUAAAUUCUUGUUCUCCACUGCUGAUCAAAACAGCUUCUCUGAAGAAGAGAGACAUCAAAAUCUAGAAAUGGGCUUUUAAAGAAAUCUGACAAGUAUUUUUUUCUUAGUCUGACAUACAAAGGCACAGAAACUCAGUUGUCCAGUCACUCCAGUCGUGCCCGACUCUUUUGCAAAUCCAUGGGCUGCAGCACACCAGGCUUCCGUGUCCUUCACUAUCUCUCAGUUUGCUCAAAUUCAUGUCCAUUGAGUCUGUGGUGCUAUUGAACUAUCUCAUCCUCUGCUGCCUUCUUCUCCUUUUGCCUUCAAUCUUUCCCAGCAUCAAGGUCUUUUCUAAUAAGUCGGCUAUUCACAUCAGAUAGGCAAAGUAUUGGAGGUCCAGCUUCAGCAUCAGACCUUUUCAAUGAAUAUUCAGGAUUGAUUUCCUUUAGGAAUAACUGGUUUGAUCUCCUUGCUGUCCAAGGGACUCUCAAGAAUCUUCUCCAGCACCACAGUUCAAAAGCAUCAACCCUUCCGGGCUCAGCAACCCAAAGGGUGGCUUAAAUGGGUGUUUAAAUAUAACUGGCAAACAUAAGGAGGGUGUGCAUAAAGAGAGCUUUGCAGACUCUCUAGUCCAGCCUUGUUUUGGACAAACCUAAUGUGCUCAGUCUGAACAGUGUGAAACUCUCCUUUCUGCUCCUCCAUAGGCAGCAGAUGGCAUAACUGGUCAUAAAUGCUGGUCGACAAAAGGUGUCAGGAUAGGAGCUGUGAGUUUGUAAGCAAGUUCUGAGCUGCUUAUGCUACUGCUGCCUCCAACACUGAGAUCCUGUCAGCAGGCUUUCAGCAGGAAUUUAUAAAACAGCAGUUAAAUUCAGAGGGAAAAAAUGCCAAACUCUUGCAUAAUCAAUUUAUUCAGACCCACGCAAGUACUCACUCUGUUUUUCUUUAUUUUGCUCCUUAAUUCCCAGAAUUGUUCCAUCAAUAGUGGUUUUGGAUGUUAAGUCUUUCCCCAGAGUUUCCCCCAACAACAUUUUUGACACGGUUAUAAGAGAAACUUGUUUUUAAAAAACACAAAACAUAUUGAAGAGUCUGUUUUCCUCGGAACUCAUUUUGGAAAUCACGAGUCGUUUUUCAGAUGAAACUUGCUCAACAGCAGACUAGACUUAAAGAUUUUUAAAUCACACGACUUAGGUGGAAUCCAAGCCUCGCCUGUUCUCUUCCCACUUCCACCGAGGGGUUAUUUGGCUGAACUGUUUUCCUGUUUCAACAUCUUGAACACCAACCAAAUGGACAAACAACGCCGAGAGCAAAAAAGGGUCAGCUUCCUCCCACCCCCAUCCCACCCCAGCUGCACUUGAGCUGGG